rnacentral:lncRNA from 1 species
GUAUACUUCGUAACCAAAUAAAGACCAAGUGAGUAUUUGGUUUCCCUGUGUGCUGUAUUUGGUUUUCUCGUCUUAUUGAAAACAUUUUCAUGGGCAGAGCUCCUGGUAGGGCGAGGUCGCCCUACCUUGAUUCCUUGCAAAACAUAAGAUAGAGGUCUCAUGCGUAUCAGUUUCGGUAAUUAAGAAAGAAAAUAAAAAUAAAAAGAUGAAAGGUAUUAGGGGUGUUGGGCCUUGUAGUUUGUAUCUUGGGCCUGGGGCUGACGCUCUCUGGGCUGGCUAGGAUCGUGGGAAUCGAACGCGUUGCAUUCCCCUCGACUCCUCGUCCAGAACUCCUCGCCUCUGGACACCCUGGAGCUUGGGGGCGCUGCUAGGAUUAUAGGAUUAGGCAAGUGGUAAGCUGGGAGGAGUAGGAGACCGACGACGGGGCGGCGUGCGCCAAGGCCCGAGUCAACGGCUAAGG